rnacentral:rRNA from 1 species
UGGGGAAUAUUGCACAAUGGAGGGAACUCUGAUGCAGCGACGCCGCGUGAACGAAGAAGGCUUUCGAGUCGUAAAGUUCUUUUAUAUGGGAAGAUAAUGACGGUACCAUAACAAAAAGCCCCGGCUAACUACGUGCCAGCAGCCGCGGUAAUACGUAGGGGGCUAGCGUUGUACGGAAUCACUGGGCGUAAAGGGUUCGCAGGCGGAAAUGCAAGUCAGGUGUAAAAGGCAGUAGCUUAACUACUGUAAGCAUUUGAAACUGCAUAUCUUGAGAAGAGUAGAGGUAAGUGGAAUUUUUAGUGUAGCGGUGAAAUGCGUAGAUAUUAAAAAGAAUACCGGUGGCGAAGGCGACUUACUGGGCUCAUUCUGACGCUGAGGAACGAAAGCGUGGGUAGCAAACAGG